UACAGGGGGUGCAAACGUUGCUCGGAAUCAUUGGGCGUAAAGCGCACGUAGGCGGUUCGUUAUGUCGGAUGUGAAAGCCCUUGGCUUAACCGAGGAAGUGCAUCCGAAACUGGCGAGCUAGAGUACUAAAGAGGAUCGCGGAAUUCCCGGUGUAGAGGUGAAAUUCGUAGAUAUCGGGAGGAAUACCGGUGGCGAAGGCGGCGAUCUGGGUAGAUACUGACGCUGAGGUGCGAAAGCGUGGGGAGCAAACAGG
rnacentral:rRNA from 1 species